GUGACUUGGCUGGACGGCAAAGGCCGAGGGGUCAGCGCCAGGGGCCGCGGCACAGACACGGUGCUGAAAGGUGUCAAAUUUAAGACCGUGGAUCUAUUUCUGAAAACAUCUGGGGAGGCUGCCCAGAUGGCCCUCACACUGUGUGUGUGUGUGUGUGUGUGUGUGUGUGUGUGUGCUGAUCUACUGACUUUGAAUAUAAUUUUACAAGGAUAUUAUUAAGAUAUAGGCCAAGCAUGCCAGGACUUUUUAAGCCUCGCCCUCUCCUUCUCCAUCAUCCAGUCCCCUCCGAGGAAACUCGGGGCGUCCUCCGGUUGCCCACGAAGCAGGGGUCUCGGGUCGAGGAGCGACAGGAAUAAGGAACAUGCCAGCGGAGUGAAACAGGCAAACUGGGGAGCAACAGGAGGGCUGUCUUUCUUUCCUCGGUCCGGCCCAUGUAAAUCAAUGGCGUCCUGUGCGCUCUCAGUUUGUGGCUCGGCCCACACAUCCAGUUCAUCUUCACGCCCUUUCACUCUGUCAAACCAUUCCCAAUAUUUCAGGUAUGAGCGGCAGUCGGCGACUGUUUCCGCCCAUGGAUGACUGCCAGUUAGCAUGGCAUAGGUCAGGAUCCCCAGUGCCCAGCUGUCUGUGCUGGACUCCACAGACACCCAAACUCUUGUCUUCUUCUGCUCCUCUUCAUCCUCCUUAACGUCAUUCAUGCUGCUCGAGCUGUCCUCAUUUCCGCGAGCAACCUCAGCCUCAGGGGUGCAAUAAGGGGAGCUGUACCAGACCUCAGGGACCCUGGUGCCCCUGGCCUUCACCUGGGUUUGACCCAGCGGCAGGCGGAGUCGCACAGGAAGACGUUCUCCGGUUUGAGGUCUCUGUGGACAAAACCCAGGGAGUGCAGAUGGGACAGAGCACCGCAGAGCUGGGACACCACGCGCUGACAACAGUCCUCCUCCACCCCGACCUGGAGAGGAAGUGGCGAGGGAUACAACGGAAGACGUAGGUUACAAGCUCUGCCAAGCCCUGUUUCUCCGGCCCAAGACUAGCAGAGACCUCAGGUCCAAGGAAUCUCUUGAUCAUUCCCUUGUGUGAAGACAAUUGGUUCCUCUACACUUUAUGAUUCAUUAAAUCUUGGGAAACCUGGACACAAAAAUCCCGAUGCCCUCAGUAUGUGUUGUACCAAAGAACACUUCACACCAACACUGCUGAAAUAGCCGCGUACCUCGG